rnacentral:tRNA from 1 species
GUGGGUAUAGCUCAGUGGUAGAGCAUGUGCUUAGGAUGCAUGAGGUCCUGGGUUCAAUCCCCAGUCUCUCCA